AACACUGACUAGUCGUCACGCGUGUGUUUAUUUGAUUGACAUUGCUGUCAGAAGCAAAAACUGUUUGGGUCGUAGUACAGGACUGAAAAACAUACCAUUUGAUACAUUGUUGGUGAAUUAAAUAUGGACCAAAAUGAACAUCCAAAGCCAUGGGAGAAACCUUGGACGCCUGACGAUUUACGACGGAAUAGUACAUGCUGGUCGUUAGCAGGUGACGCAGGUCUACUCAGAUAUCUACAAGAAUUCUCGCAGCUUAUCAUUGAAUUUCAGGCGGCACCAUGAAGCCAAAGAUGUGAGCCUUGUCUGUGAGUGUUAGCCUGUUAUUGGCAUGCAGAUUGAUGUGACAAGACACCUACUUUAACAGCAGAAAAGCUGUACCAUACUGGAAAUAUACAAAGCUAUGCUGAAAAGUGAUUUCUCUGAACUUUUUCUGUGAAAACUGUAAGCUUUUUAAAUAAAACAAAUUUUAUUAA